GGGAGUUGCCCCCUUUGAAGACUUGCUCCAGUGGUCUUUGUACUAGCUGCUUUGCUGAAGGAAUAAAGUGGCACGCCUUCGGUAAGAAUUCUGCAGUGCCUUUUCAAAUGGUAUUUGUACACUUUAGUAGUCAUCAUAGACUCUCUGCUGACCUAAGAGAUUUGCAGCUUUAUAAAAGCUGUGGCAGAUGCAAAGGGUAUUCGUCAAUCCCUUUCUUCUUUUGAAACAGGUCUCAGAAAGGAAUGACUUGUGGGCAAAUAUUGAUUUCUUUUCCCAGAGAUCAACCAUUAAGUACGAAAGGACACCUAAACAUGAAAUCGAAAGGUUUAUAUUGUCAAACUAGGACAGAAGGUAGAGGAAGAAGAUCACAUUUCCCCACCUCAGUGCACAAGGGCUUGGGAACCAAUCAGAAGUGGAAUGCCUGCCUGAGCAUGAUGAAAGCAAUCACAGAGUCAUGAAUGACAAGCCAAACCUGGUACUCAUACCUCAACCUGAAUCCAUACAGAAGAAGAAGAAUGGCUAUUUGCAAUUAGAAAUACAAAAUGAUCGACCUGUUUGAUAAAAUUAGGUUAAAAGAAAAAUCACCCUAAUUGGAUAUACCCAUUUCAUCUGUAGUAAAGAUACUCAUAAUCCACAGGAAACAAAGCUCUUCAUAUCUUGGCUCACUUAUAUAUUCUUCAGUAACAUGAUUUCCCCUCUGGGAGGAGAGCAUUUCAGAUAAUAAACAGCUGUUUUCAUCUCCCUGUUAAAAAUAGCUGUGAUUCACCCAUGUUCAAG
rnacentral:lncRNA from 1 species